AGUUAUUUGGCUGAGUUGUAAAGCAUGUGUUUUGAAAGCACACUAUAGAGGUUUAAGUCCUUUAAUAACUU
rnacentral:tRNA from 1 species